rnacentral:rRNA from 2 species
UGACGGAGCACGCCGCGUGAGUGAUGAAGGUUUUCGGAUCGUAAAACUCUGUUGUCAGGGAAGAACAAGUGCCGGAGUAACUGCCGGCGCCUUGACGGUACCUGACCAGAAAGCCACGGCUAACUACGUGCCAGCAGCCGCGGUAAUACGUAGGUGGCAAGCGUUGUCCGGAAUUAUUGGGCGUAAAGCGCGCGCAGGCGGUUUCUUAAGUCUGAUGUGAAAGCCCCCGGCUCAACCGGGGAGGGUCAUUGGAAACUGGGAAACUUGAGUGCAGAAGAGGAGAGUGGAAUUCCACGUGUAGCGGUGAAAUGCGUAGAGAUGUGGAGGAACACCAGUGGCGAAGGCGACUCUCUGGUCUGUAACUGACGCUGAGGCGCGAAAGCGUGGGGAGCGAACAGGAUUAGAUACCCUGGUAGUCCACGCCGUAAACGAUGAGUGCUAAGUGUUAGAGGGUUUCCGCCCUUUAGUGCUGCAGCUAACGCAUUAAGCACUCCGCCUGGGGAGUACGGUCGCAAGACUGAAACUCAAAAAAAUUGACGGGGGCCCGCACAAGCGGUGGAGCAUGUGGUUUAAUUCGAAGCAACGCGAAGAACCUUACCAGGUCUUGACAUCCUUUGCCACUCUAGAGA